AAAUGGCUGCCCAGGUCCCAGGCUCAGGCAUGACUCAGCACCAAACUUGCUGCCACUUCUCCUGGACCCCCCUCGCUCCCCAGAUUCCACAAUUCCAUACCUUCUCCCACACUCCAGCUACGGGAGUCCUCUGCCUUUCCCGGCUGCAAACCGUCUCCCAGCUGAAUCUCCUUUGCCAAUUCGGGCUGGAUGAUACUCAUUUCAGCUGCUCACCUUACUAGCUCAUCAAGCCUUCAGAUGAUUGAAGCCCCAUUACUCCUGCAACUGAGAAAUUACAACAUCUUGACUGUAAUCUCAAUGGAUACCUCAAGAAAGAACCAUCGGAACCUAAGGGGUCGACUUGGCAUGACCACAGUGACACCUGGAUGAUCAUACUCUCCAGGUUGUCAGACUCCCAUCCUUAGAGGCACAGCUUCCCUCCUCUUCUUGUCACCUCUUGCUGGAUUUAUGUGAAACACUCAGCACCCUUCCUAUGGACCAGCCAUGG